rnacentral:rRNA from 1 species
AUACGGAGGGUCCGAGCGUUAUCCGGAAUCAUUGGGUUUAAAGGGUCCGUAGGCGGGAAUCUAAGUCAGUGGUGAAAUCUUGCAGCUCAACUGUAAAAUUGCCAUUGAUACUGGAUUUCUUGAAUUAGUGUGAAGUGGUUAGAAUGUGUAGUGUAGCGGUGAAAUGCAUAGAUAUUACACAGAAUACCAAUUGCGAAGACAGAUCACUAACACUAUAUUGACGCUGAGGGACGAAAGCGUGGGGAGCGAACAGGAUUAGAAACCCGGGUAGUCC